rnacentral:rRNA from 1 species
AACGAACGCUGGCGGCAUGCCUAACACAUGCAAGUCGAACGAGACCUUCGGGUCUAGUGGCGCACGGGUGCGUAACGCGUGGGAACCUGCCCUUAGGUUCGGAAUAACUCCCCGAAAGGGGUGCUAAUACCGGAUAGGUCUUCGGACCAAAGAUUUAUCGCCUUUGGAUGGGCCCGCGUUGGAUUAGCUAGUUGGUAGGGUAAAAGCCUACCAAGGCGACGAUCCAUAGCUGGUCUGAGAGGAUGAUCAGCCACACUGGGACUGAGACACGGCCCAGACUCCUACGGGAGGCAGCAGUGGGGAAUAUUGGACAAUGGGCGAAAGCCUGAUCCAGCAAUGCCGCGUGAGUGAUGAAGGCCUUAGGGUUGUAAAGCUCUUUUACCCGGGAUGAUAAUGACAGUACCGGGAGAAUAAGCUCCGGCUAACUCCGUG